CUCGUAGGCGGUUCGUCGCGUCCGGUGUGAAAGUCCAUCGCUUAACGGUGGAUCCGCGCCGGGUACGGGCGGGCUUGAGUGCGGGUAGGGGAGACUGGAAUUCCCGGUGUAACGGUGGAAUGUGUAGAUAUCGGGAAGAACACCAAUGGCGAAGGCAGGUCUCUGGGCCGUUACUGACGCUGAGGAGCGAAAGCGUGGGGAGCGAACA
rnacentral:rRNA from 1 species